UUUCUUUCUGUUGGCCCAGUAGUGAGAGGUGCUGAGCUGGAUGCUCUCUUCUACUGCAGUGAGAAGGAGGUGCUUGCUGUAUUGGAGUUCUUCCCAUGAACGUUUCUUCCUGUAAGCAGACAGGGUCAGGAAUGAACAAGUUCAAAGAGGCAGAAAAGUGUGAUAAGAAAACCUGGCACGAACAACCAGAUUUCACUGAUGCAUGAACACAACCACACACCAGCUCACAGAUACACAAAUAUUCUGAGGCAAAAAAUAAAAUAGCUUCUUGGCAGAUCUUAUUCACCCUUAAUUGGCUAAUUGCCCAACCUGACACUGGCACUGUUUUAAAGGGUGAAAAAUUCCUCAGCGAUGUCUCUGAUAUCUUUCAUAUGAGUAUUUUUCUCUUCCACAGCAAGCACAGAAGUUUAGCCAUUUUUUUUUUUUUAGAUCACCAUGUAUUUCUGCUCAGUACAGGGAAAAAUAUGUACACUGAAAGCUUUCUG